rnacentral:rRNA from 1 species
AUGAAUAUUGCCCUCCUGUCCAAAUGGCUUUGGCGGAUCCAAACUGAGGAGGGUGGCCCGUGGCUUCAGAUUAUCCGCGCGAAGUACCUUCGCGGGCAACCAUUAUCAUUUGCCUCUAGGUCUGGAGGUUCCCAAUUCUGGCAACCGGUGAUCUCUUCGUUAUUGGUUCUGCGCAUUGGCACUUCCAUCCAGAUAGGCUCCGGGGCUGCCACAUUUUUUUGGCUGGAUAGAUGGGCGGGCGCCCGGCCAUUUGCAGAUCGUUUUUUGCGCUAUUCUCUAUCUGUGUUCGCCCGCAGAUCUCUGUGGCCGCGGCCCUAG